GCCAGACAUAGCUCAGUCGGUAGAGCAUGAGACUUUUAAUCUCAGGGUUCUGCGUUCAAAUUCCACGUUGGGCA